UUGAUCUCCGAUGAGCCGGGUCUGGCCAAGGUAGCUAUCGACCACUUCUCCGCUGCCCUGGUCGCGCACGGGGACCGAUCGUGUACUCUCGACCUCGAAGCCAUUGGUCACCCACGGGCGUUUGAUCUAUCAUCCCUUGCGGAGCCGUUCUCCCAGGAUGAGAUUUGGGAGGCUAUCAAGAAGCUCCCCUCCGACAAGUCGCCGGGCCCGGAUGGGUUCACGGCCGAAUUCGUCCGUUCUUGCUGGGACAUCAUCAAGCAAGACCUCCGUGUUCAACGGCCAGUCUUUCUAGCGUCUCAACGAGGCACUAAUCACUCUGCUGCCGAAGAAGCCCGACGCAGCUACGCUCUUCCACUAUCGCCCUAUAAGCCUCAGCCACCUCGUGGCUAA
rnacentral:rRNA from 1 species